AGAAAAGGUGUACCGCACAGUAGCAGCAGGAGGCGCUCAAGAGCUCCAUGAUCGUCCCCUGUGGCAAGAGAGGGAACAUGCUGGCCCCAUCAAUGGGUUAUGACCCAGAAGGCCCAGAGUGUGUCAAACACUUCAGGGUGUCCCUGCACAGGCGUGAUAUUGACUAGAAACAGACCAUGGAAAAAAGAAACUGACUUGUGCUCCCUCUGCUCCCAUACAGUAAAGACAC